rnacentral:lncRNA from 1 species
AAAGUUCUUAGAAUUCAGUUCUCAUCUUGGAAAAUUCAAAAAUUAAUAGCUAAAAAAUGUAUGUAGCAGUUAUUACCUAUAGAGCCAGUAUUUAUAUCUCUUUCUAAAACAUCUUUUUAGAAAUUCUGUGCAAGCCUGUUCCAUUCUUUCUGCGCGGACAACCCAUUCCAAAGAGAAUGCUUCCACCCGAGGCGCUGGUGCCCUAUUAUACCGAUGCGAAAAACCGGGGGUACCUGGCCGACCCUGCCAAGUUUCCUGAAGCAAGACUGGAACUUGCCAUGAAGUAUGGCUAUGUCCUUCCUGAUGUCACGAAAGACGAACUCUUCAGAAUGCUCAGCACCCGCAAGGAUCCAAGGCAGAUUUUCUUUGGUCUUGCUCCUGGCUGGAUAGUGAAUAUGGCAGAUAAGAAAAUUCUAAAACCUACAGAUGAGAAUCUUCUCAAGUAUUACAGCUCCUGAACUGCCUUCAGUAAAUCAGACAUGUGAGCCAGGGGGGCUGAACACGGGCUCGUGUGGGCCUUAAAGCCGAGGGGCUGGUACCGCCUGCACUGGUCAGGUUUCUUGUUCUUUUUCCAUCUGAAAUUAAAUAACAGGCAGCAAAAGCUGCAUCGGAACUG